CUUGCACACCACCAGCAUUUGCGAGGAAAUCAAGAGCAGGAGAGCACGAGGGGAAGAGAGGACCAGAUGGGAGACUGAGAUGGAUUGGCCGGGCUAACAGGCAGAUGUUUAUGAGCCAUUAUUUACAAGCUCUUUAAUCUGGGCUAUUUCCUCGCCCUUGGCAAUGGAUAGGUCUGCAGGUCAUGCUGCCUGAACACCUCCACCAGUGGUCAUUCAUCUCCCUCUUUAAAAGCUGGAGUGAAAGAGGGAAUGAAGGAGGGAGGAAGGUACAAAGUGAAGGAGAGAAAUGUUAAGUGUAGGAGUGUACCUCUACAAAUGGACCCUAAAAGGUUAGUCAGCUGUAAGUAUUGAAGUAUUUCCCUUUAUCCUGACAGAGCCUCCCAACUAGCAUGCUAGUUUUAGCACCACUCAGAUGUAAAUACACACUCACACCAGGGAGCUACACAGUGCAAGCACACAGGAUGCAGAGCGGCUUCAACCGAGCGGC
rnacentral:lncRNA from 1 species